UUUAUGGAGAGUUUGAUCCUGGCUCAGGAUGAACGCUGGCGGCGUGCCUAAUACAUGCAAGUCGAGCGAACGGACGAGAAGCUUGCUUCUCUGAUGUUAGCGGCGGACGGGUGAGUAACACGUGGAUAACCUACCUAUAAGGCUGGGAUAACUUCGGGAAACCGGAGCUAAUACCGGAUAAUAUUUUG
rnacentral:rRNA from 1 species